GUCUCGCAAGUCACCCAGUGUCUCAGUGUCCCUAUGUAUCACAGUGUCAGUGUCCCCAUGUCGCCCAGUCCCCUAGUCUCCCAGUGUCUCAGUGUCCCCAUUUCUCCCAGUGUCCCAGUGUCUCAGUCUCGCAAGUCACCCAGUGUCUCAGUGUCCCUAUGUAUCACAGUGUCAGUGUCCCCAUGUCGCCCAGUCCCCUAGUCUCCCAGUGUCUCAGUGUCCCCAUUUCUCCCAGUGUCCCAAUGUCUCAGUGUGUCCCCAUGUCUCAGUGUGUCCCCAUGUCACUAGGAUACUGGGGACACAGUGAGACAUGGGGACACAGAGACCCGGGGACACGAGACAUGGGGACAUGGGGACACUGAGACAUUUAGGGAAACUGGGAGAAAUGGGGACACAGACACCAGGGACACAGACACUGGGAGACAUGGGGACACUGAAACAUUUGGGGACACUAAGACACUAGGGACACAGAGACAUGGGAACACAGACACUGGGAGACUAUGGGACACUGGGAGACAUGGGGACACUGGCUGGAAGACAGACACUUGGGGACACUGGGAGACAUGGGGACAGUUGUGGGCAUAGACAUGGGGACACUGGGACAUAUAGGGACACUGGGAGACAUGGGGACACAAGGCACACUGAGACACUAGGAACACAGAGACUGGGAGACAUAGGGACACUGAAACAUUUGGGGACACUAAGACACUAGGGACACAGAGACAUGGGGACACUGGGAGACUUGGGGACAGUUGUGGACAUAGAC